GAUGUGGUACAGUACAGUAAACACACAAAGGAGAUGUGGUACAGUACAGUAAACACACAAAGGAGAUGUGGUACAGUAAACACACAAAGGAGAUGUGGUACAGUAAACACACAAAGGAGAUGUGGUACAGUAAACACACAAAGGAGAUGUGGUACAGUAAACACACAAAGGAGAUGUGGUACAGUAAACACACAAAGGAGAUGUGGUACAGUAAACACACAAAGGAGAUGUGAUACAGUAAACACACAAAGGAGAUGUGGUACAGUAAACACACAAAGGAGAUGUGGUACAGUAAACACACAAAGGAGAUGUGGUACAGUAAACACACAAAGGAGAUGUGGUACAGUACAGUAAACACACAAAGGAGAUGUGGUACAGUACAGUAAACACACAAAGGAGAUGUGGUACAGUAAACACAAAGGAGAUGUGGUACAGUAAACACACAAAGGAGAUGUGGUACAGUAAACACACAAAGGAGAUGUGGUACAGUAAACACACAAAGGAGAUGUGGUACAGUACAGUAAACACACAAAGGAGAUGUGGUACAGUAAACACACAAAGGAGAUGUGGUACAGUACAGUAAACACACAAAGGAGAUGUGGUACAGUACAGUAAACACACAAAGGAGAUGUGGUACAGUACAGUAAACACACAAAGGAGAUGUGGUACAGUACAGUAAACACACAAAGGAGAUGUGGUACAGUAAACACACAAAGGAGAUGUGGUACAGUAAACACACAAAGGAGAUGUGGUACAGUAAACACACAAAGGAGAUGUGGUACAGUACAGUAAACACACAAAGGAGAUGUGGUACAGUACAGUAAACACACAAAGGAGAUGUGGUACAGUAAACACACAAAGGAGAUGUGGUACAGAACAGUAAACACACAAAGGAGAUGUGGUACAGUACAGUAAACACACAAAGGAGAUGUGGUACAGUACAGUAAACACACAAAGGAGAUGUGGUACAGUAAACACACAAAGGAGAUGUGGUACAGUACAGUAAACACACAAAGGAGAUGUGGUACAGUAAACACACAAAGGAGAUGUGGUACAGAACAGUAAACACACAAAGGAGAUGUGGUACAGUAAACACACAAAGGAGAUGUGGUACAGUAAACACACAAAGGAGAUGUGGUACAGUACAGUAAACACACAAAGGAGAUGUGGUACAGUACAGUAAACACACAAAGGAGAUGUGGUACAGUACAGUAAACACACAAAGGAGAUGUGGUACAGUAAACACACAAAGGAGAUGUGGUACAGAACAGUAAACACACAAAGGAGAUGUGGUACAGUACAGUAAACACACAAAGGAGAUGUGGUACAGUA